AUGGUUAAGUUAGAAAGGGCGCACGGUGGAUGCCUUGGCACUAGGAGCCGAUGAAGGACGGGACGAACACCGAUAUGCUUCGGGGAGCUGUAAGCAAGCUUUGAUCCGGAGAUUUCCGAAUGGGGAAACCCACUGCUCGUAAUGGAGUGGUAUCCAUAUCUUGAAUACAUAGAGUAUGAGAAGGCAUACCCGGGGAACUGAAACAUCUAAGUACCCGGAGGAAGAGAAAGCAAAUGCGAUUCCCUGAGUAGCGGCGAGCGAAACGGGAACAGCCCAAACCAAGAGGCUUGCCUCUUGGGGUUGUAGGACACUCUAUACGGAGUUACAAAGGAACGAUAUAAGCGAAGAGGUCUGGAAAGGCCCGCCAAAGAAGGUAACAGCCCUGUAACUGAAAUGUUGUUCUCUCCAGAGUGGAUCCUGAGUACGGCGGAACACGUGAAAUUCCGUCGGAAUCCGGGAGGACCAUCUCCCAAGGCUAAAUACUCCCUAGUGACCGAUAGUGAACCAGUACCGUGAGGGAAAGGUGAAAAGCACCCCGGAAGGGGAGUGAAAUAGAUCCUGAAACCGUGUGCCUACAAGUAGUCAGAGCCCGUUAACGGGUGAUGGCGUGCCUUUUGUAGAAUGAACCGGCGAGUUACGAUCCCGUGCAAGGUUAAGCAGAAGAUGCGGAGCCGCAGCGAAAGCGAGUCUGAAUAGGGCGCAUGAGUACGUGGUCGUAGACCCGAAACCAGGUGAUCUACCCAUGUCCAGGGUGAAGUUCAGGUAACACUGAAUGGAGGCCCGAACCCACGCACGUUGAAAAGUGCGGGGAUGAGGUGUGGGUAGGGGUGAAAUGCCAAUCGAACCUGGAGAUAGCUGGUUCUCUCCGAAAUAGCUUUAGGGCUAGCCUCAAGGUAAGAGUCUCGGAGGUAGAGCACUGAUUGGACU
rnacentral:rRNA from 1 species